GGAAACCUCCACGUCAUUGCUGUCUUUCGUCUGAUGGGCUUGAACCGAAAUUACGUAUGAGCUUCGAAGUUGCGUUAUUUGUCCCAGCCCGUUAGCCCAUGACAGUGCUCUGAUCGCUUUUCUAUUUCCGCGUUGAAGAAACCCGCGAUUGUCGAUUCGGGAUACUGUUAAUCUUCCUCUUUCUUCCGUUUGCGAAUCUAUGUUUUACCCUCUACACUUCGUCUUCUCCGUUUCAAACUAUAUAAACUGAGCUGUAAUCGAUCACCUUCAAUAUUUUCGUUUCAAUCAAUCAAUACCUACUUAAUGCUUUCGAUUCACCUCCCUCUUUUCCUCCUUAUCUUUUCCUCCUUAUUUAUAUAUGCAUCUAUAGUUAUACUCCCACACUCGGUUCUGUUCUCAACUCCAUAAAAUAGUAUCAUACGAGUAAGAACUCUCCGAUUAGUCAAUUUUUUCUGGUUUCCUUGAUAGGUGUGAGACUAGAGAAGUAAUGCCUUUCACGUAGUGAUUUUCCAUUCUCACUUUUGAUCUCAGGUUAUGCUAUUAUUGAGCUUUGAUUUUUUAGAUUGUAUCAAGAUAUUAUGUGAUCUGCUGUUUGAAUUGAGUUUAUUGUUUAAACUUGUGUGCACCUUUAACGAUCUUAUUUGGGAAUGUGAUUAGUCAGUAGCUUUCAACAGAAAUGGUCAUAUUUAGAAAAUUUGGUUUCUUUCUUCUUUUUUUUUUGUGUUGCAGUUCAGUUUUUUUUUUUAAUGCAGAUUUAGAUGUAACAAGGUCGGAAGAGGAUAAGAACAUAUACAUAUGUGGCAAAAAGAUGAUUAUAGUUUGGGAAUUCAAAAAGAUGAGAAUAGCUUAUAAUAUCUUGCAGAAUUCUAAAUUGGAGGAGCAGAGGAUUAACCGAGAGCAUGAUGUCAUCCUCAAGGAAAUGCAAGAGGUAAUGGCAUCAUUACUCUGUUUUCUUAAAAAAAUUCAACUUUUCAUGUUCUUUUCUCGAUGGUUUUAGUUCAGAUGUUGUAUCAUAGUUUAUGUGUGUGUGAGUAAUUGUGAGUCUUUUGUUUCUGUUUCUUCACUCAGUUGCAUCUUCUUAAAAAUUCGAACUUUAUCUAAUUAAUUGUGAGACGAGAGUUUGAAGAAUUAUGUGCACAGUUCCACGGCUUAUGGUGAUUUAGAGAAGCUUCAUAGAUUGGUUGAGUGUGAGGGUUGCUCGAUUUCUGAAUUGAUGGUCUGGGCUACUAUGCUCUUCAGUGGUCUGCAUUUAACAACUGCACCGCCAUUGCUCAGUACAUUAUCGAGUCGAGAGACAAAACAGAAGCUACAAUCAUAAUUAAAAUUAGCAGGGAACCCAACUUCAAGAAUCUACUCUUCAAUUGGCUCCAUACACUCUGAACUGAAGAAAACAAAAUCAUUGAUGAGGUCAUGGAGAUAAAUGAUCGGACUUUUAAAUCUCACAAGAUGGAUGAAGAAGAAGUCUCCAUUGAAUAUGUACCGGAUGUAAAAGAGGAGAGCGCUGUGCUUGAGUUUCGCCUUAACCUUCUGCAAAUGAUUCAUUUAUUUAAGUAUAAAGGUUGAACUCUUGUGACCACUCAGAUGAUCAGUAUAAAGGUUGAACUCUUGUGUUCCUUAGAAAAUGACUACAUAUGAACCAAAGUUUAAGAUGAUGAUAGAUGAAUGCAAUUGCAGGCAACUAUUAAAUUUAUAAAAGAUUAAU